GGGAAUCUACCCUGAACUGCGGAAUAGCUCCGGGAAACUGGAAUUAAUACCGCAUGUGCCCUGAGGGGCAAAGAUUUAUCGGUUCAGGAUGAGCCCGCGUCGGAUUAGCUAGUUGGUGGGGUAAUGGCCUACCAAGGCGACGAUCCGUAGCUGGUCUAAGAGGAUGAUCAGCCACAUUGGGACUGAGACACGGCCCAAACUCCUACGGGAGGCAGCAGUGGGGAAUAUUGGACAAUGGGCGCAAGCCUGAUCCAGCCGUGCCGCGUGAGUGAUGAAGGCCCUAGGGUUGUAAAGCUCUUUCAGUGGGGACGAUAAUGACGGUACCCACAGAAGAAGCCCCGGCUAACUUCGUGCCAGCAGCCGCGGUAAUACGAAGGGGGCUAGCGUUGUUCGGAAUUACUGGGCGUAAAGCGCACGUAGGCGGAUAUUUAAGUCAGGGGUGAAAUCCCGGGGCUCAACCCCGGAACUGCCUUUGAUACUGGAUGUCUUGAGUCCGGAAGAGGUGAGUGGAAUUGCGAGU
rnacentral:rRNA from 1 species